rnacentral:rRNA from 1 species
UACGGAGGGUGCGAGCGUUGUCCGGAAUCACUGGGCGUAAAGGGCGCGUAGGUGGCGCAGGAAGUCAACGGUGAAAGUUCGGGGCUCAACCCUGAAUCGGCCGUCGAUACUCCUGGGCUCGAGCACUGUAGAGGCAGAUGGAAUUCCGGGUGUAGCGGUGGAAUGCGUAGAGAUCCGGAAAGAACACCGGUGGCGAAGGCGGUCUGCUGGGCGAGUUGCUGGAC